GGGGAAUUUUCCGCAAUGGGCGAAAGCCUGACGGAGCAACGCCGCGUGAGGGAUGAAGGCCUCUGGGCUGUAAACCUCUUUUCUCAAGGAAGAAGAUCUGACGGUACUUGAGGAAUAAGCCACGGCUAAUUCCGUGCCAGCAGCCGCGGUAAUACGGGAGUGGCAAGCGUUAUCCGGAAUUAUUGGGCGUAAAGCGUCCGCAGGCGGUCUUGUAAGUCUGUCGUUAAAGCGUGGAGCUUAACUCCAUUUCAGCGAUGGAAACUGCAAGACUAGAGUGUGGUAGGGGCAGAGGGAAUUCCCGGUGUAGCGGUGAAAUGCGUAGAUAUCGGGAAGAACACCAGUGGCGAAGGCGCUCUGCUGGGCCAUAACUGACGCUCAUGGACGAAAGCCAGGGGAGCGAAAGGGAUUAGAUACCCCAGUAGUC
rnacentral:rRNA from 1 species